UGAAACCAACAUAUUCUCCUUUUCAGCUUAAUUUGAAAGAUGAUGCUAUGAUUUGUGAACUUGCUUGGCCAUUACACAUUCUUUUACGAAUCAAAAUGCUAGACGAUUUUGUCAUUAACUAGUGGAAUCCUAUUUUUUCACAAAAGAAAUAAAGAUCCUUCAAUUGGCUCAUUAAGUCGUCCAGGUAAAUAUGAAUUUCUUGUCAGUUAACAAAAGAAAUAAAGAUCCUUCAAUUGGCUCAUUAAGUCGUCCAGGUAAAUAUGAAUUUCUUGUCAGUUACAAACAUC
rnacentral:lncRNA from 1 species